UUCAGGGGUCCAUAGAAAGCAAAAGGGGAAAGAAAUGGGAUCCAUUCUUUACAGCAACAAGCAGAAGAUGGGAUACUUGGAAUUUUAAAAAUUUAAUAUCUGCCUUUCUGAGUUUUGAUCUUGCUUUGGGAGGUUCACUGCAGAGUUUGCCUUGAGCUUCAGAAGACUUUGAACUUGAGUUUUUAGCCCAUAUUGGAGCAACUUGGAGAUGGAGUGAAUGAAUUUUACAUUGUGAGAAGAGCAUCAGUUUUGCAGGCCACGGGAGGAAUGCUGUAGUUUGGAUACUAUCUGUCUCCACAAAGGUUUGCAACUGCAGAAUUAUCUGGGAUCUUAUUAGAAAUGCAGACUACCAAGUAAACCUCAGACCUACAGAAUCAUAAUGUGCAUUUUUACAACAUCCUCAGUCAAUUCGGAUGUCCAUGAAAAUCUGAUAUGCUGCUGUACAUCACUUUGACUUGCCUUCAGUUUUCCCUUUGCCAGUGUGAUGCACUUGGAGGUUGCUCUUUGUUCCAGAAGAGAAGCUGCCUUCAUUCCAUGUCAUAUGCCCACACUGUCUUUAAAGAUAGCAAAGGAGCUCACAGGAGAGUUUGCCUUAAAUCUUGGAGGAGAAUUUACACUUGGACUUUGCAAAUGAAAAAUGCUAAAACUCUUAAGAUUUUGGCAACUUCUAGAGAUGGACUAAAUGUAUUUUGGAUAGAGAGAUGCUCAUAAAUCUUUUGGAGGGCUAGGGUAGAAUAUUAUGGUGUAUAUCUAGAUGUUUUUCCAAAGCCUUAUGUGUUCAUAGGUGGGGCUUUUGAGAAAUGAUUGUGUCAUGUGGCAUGAUAUUCAUAAGUGGUAUAGUCCAAAUGUGACAUUGGGAGGUAAAACUUGGUUCAAAGAAAACAGCCCUG
rnacentral:lncRNA from 1 species